UACGAAGGGGGCUAGCGUUGUUCGGAUUUACUGGGCGUAAAGCGCGUGUAGGCGGUCUUGUAAGUUGGGGGUGAAAUCCCGGGGCUCAACCUCGGAACUGCCUUCAAAACUAUUGGUCUUGAGUUCGAGAGAGGUGAGUGGAAUUCCGAGUGUAGAGGUGAAAUUCGUAGAUAUUCGGAGGAACACCAGUGGCGAAGGCGGCUCACUGGCUCGAUACUGACGCUGAGGUGCGAAAGCGUGGGGAGCAAACAGG
rnacentral:rRNA from 1 species